rnacentral:lncRNA from 10 species
CGGCCGCAGCGAUUGGGCGGUGGUGUGGGAGCCCCGGGCACCGGGGAGAACACGUGCUGUUCUGCGCCUUCUUUGGGAUGCAUCACGCGGCUCCCGAGCCCAGACUUCGUCCAGGCCGGCGGGAAGGGGUCAGCGGAGCCGCUAGCUGCCUCUUUGUGCCCCGCAACCCCGCGGGCGGUUGAUUUCCACCUGUGGGCGCUGGGGACACGCGACCGGAAGAAAUGGAAGAGAAAACGGGGUUCGGGGAGGGAGGAAAACUUCUAAGCCAGGCGAUCGUCCAGUUCUCUCUCCAAGAGACUGGAAAUUAACUUUAUGAGGAUCAUAAGGAAGGGAAUGACCUCUAGACAGCCGCCUUCUAAUUGUGAAACGGGGGAAGAUCUUGGACCUGGUCUCUGGAGCGCUCCCUAUCUUAACCAAGUCACUUACUCUAGCAGGUCUCAGGUUCUUUGUCUGUAAAAUGAGGGUGUAAAAUAAUGAUCUUUCUAGACCCUACGAGCUCUGAAGGAUCUCUGAUUGGUGGAGAUCACCCAAGACCCGGAGCUGAUGCAAAACAUUACCUACCAUUCCCUUGUCUGAAAAGCCACAUCAACUUUCUUUUUUCAAAAACUAUAUUUUUAGUAUGUGUAAAGUAAGUUUGGAGUAAAUACUUUCAAGUCCUUUUCAAGGUCAAAACAAAAACUAAUUCUGUGACUACAAAUGUAUGCUUUUUUUUUUUUUUUUGAGACAGAGUCUCGCUCUGUCCAAAUGUAUGCAUUUUUAAUGGAGUAAAUUAAAAAAAAAAACCUUUGUUUAAAAUUUACUUUCAGCAAAAGUCAGCAUUAUUUUUUCAACUUAAAACCUUUUUGGGUUUUAAGUUGAAACAGGUUUUUUAGCUGUCUGGCCCAAAUCCAAAAUACGUAUAUCUUGGUGGGGAACUUCAAUUUGUCUCUGCCAUAAGACAAACGAAUGUCCUGAUACUUUUUGAUUCUUUAACAAAAUUAUCCUUGUAUUCUUAGGUUUAUAUAUUCACUAACAUUUAACAUAACACAAAUCUGUUACGUGAAUUAAAGACACACAAAGGCAUUUUUACCAGUGUUUGGAAGUUUGUGAAUAGUAAAGGGGAACAGGCCAAAAUUUCAUGCGUUGAGGAUAUAAGUAAAACAGAAAGUGCAAAAAUGUAAACUACACAAACUCAAUCUCUUGUGGAACAAUUAGAAAACUAAUAAUACAUUUUACUCUUGAAUGUUGAUAUUCCACUCGAAGUUUGGUUGGUUGCUAAGCUUAAGGAUAAACACUAUGAAAAAUGUGAAGACAGAAGGGCUGGCCAAACACAGCUGAUUCGGCAGCAAAUCACACAUUAAAUCACAGUGGCAUGUGAGUCGGUUUAUUCAAAUUGCUGUUAAAAGAUAUUCUUAGAGUAAGUUUAGGAAAAUAAGAGUCAUUUGGCGAUGCAGAGAGGAUUUUGUCUACAGUGGAAUCCAGACUCCGGUGAAAGUUCUCAUUCCUUCAGGACCUGGGAGCUAACAGCUCCGGACUUUCUUGUGCUCCACUGUGCUGCCUAUGUUGUGUGCUUCCCAAAUGGCAUUAUUCCCACCAGCUCUUCCAGAGUGAGUUCUGCCCAUUCUGUAGAAGAAACAGUAGCGGAAAAAUUAAACAAUAUCUUUGCUCAA